UAUGACUGCGCGCAUAUAUCUCUAUGACUCGCGGAAUUUUCAAUGCUCCGACUGACGCCUUUUUCCCCAACGGACAAUCAGCUGACGAAUAUUUUCUUGUAUCUAUAUAUUAACACUAUAAUAUUUAUACAUUCCAUGUCGUCUUUUAACAAUUUACCCAAGAUUUAACUUACAGCUUAUUGUCUUCCGUACAGAGGAAUUUUUUACCUGCGUUCCUGCGUCCCUUUCAUCAAAAGGGACAGCUGUGUUUCUAAUUUACCGAAUUGUAAUCUGGAGCAAUUGUUUGCAACACUGGAAGAAUAUGUAUGCAGAUUAUAUGCGUUUACGAGAGUCAAUGAUAUCAAUGUUGCUCGUGUGAUGACGUUCACCAAAUCAUAUGGCAAUAACGAUGACUGCAAUCCAUUGAAUUUGAAAAAAAGAAUCGAUGGUUCGUUGUUCCCGCCCUGUAAAGCUGAACUGCAACAACAUUUUCUUCGAACGGCAUAUAUCGCCCACCUUUGGAGCCAUGCUCACCGUGCCAUGCCAACUGACCUGUUGCCAACUGAGUAUGGAUGGGAAGAAUCUGAAGAAAAAUAUUAUUUUAAAUGGUUUACGGGUGAUCAAUUGCCGCCAUCCAUCACUAGCAUCACUAAUCUCGACAUGAACCCACAUGAGGACGACGAAACCGAGAACGACGGAGUGUGUGACAUAAGCAUCGAUAAUUGUGAUGACGACAGUGAUGCAAAGGAAGAUGAUGCAUAAAAAAAUAUUUCUUUGAUUUAUAUUAAGAUUUUUAUGUUAAUUUUAAUAAAAAUAAUCGAAUAAAAUUACGUUUCAAUUAAUCCGAAUAUUACAAACUAGUAGAAAUCAUAUUAAUGUUGUUACCGCUUCACUCCUAUGAAUCUUGGGUAAAUUGUUAAAAGACGACAUGGAAUGUAUAAAUAUUAUAGUGUUAAUAUAUAGAUACAAGAAAAUAUUCGUCAGCUGAUUGUCCGUUGGGGAAAAAGGCGUCAGUCGGAGCAUUGAAAAUUCCGCGAGUCAUAGAGAUAUAUGCGCGCAGUCAUACAUUCCUGCUCUAGCUGACGUGUUUUCCCCCACUAAAUAUGCAGCUGAUUAUCAAUAUCAAGUUUCUGUAAAUGUCUAAAAUCAUGUAAAAAAAAUUCAAUCGGCAUAAAAUAAUUUUAUUUUAUUUUAUUUUUGGCUAGUUCGCACGCUCAGCUGACGCAUAAUCCACCCUCAGUUGUGCAGCUGACUACUUUCUUUUAAUUGUAAUCAAUGUCAAUAACACGUGAAAAAAAUUUCAUGUGGUAUAAAAUACUUUUCAGAUUUUUAUUUUUUAACGUAUUCCGCAGCUUCCCAAUCUCGCAUCCACCGCAACUGGACCAGCUGACGAUCGAUUUCGUCAUAAGCCACAUGCAUUCUGUUUUCUAUAUUAACAUCAGCCGGCAUAAAAUGACUUGUUUAAAAAGCCGC